UGCAGAUGAUGAUCACUUUUUGCUGUGUAAAGAAAUGUGAUGACAACCACCAAGAUCGCUGAUGCA
ensembl:snoRNA SNORD24 Small nucleolar RNA SNORD24